AAUCCAUAGGUUAAUGAGGCGAACCGGGGGAACUGAAACAUCUAAGUACCCCGAGGAAAAGAAAUCAACCGAGAUUCCCCCAGUAGCGGCGAGCGAACGGGGAGGAGCCCAGAGCCUGAAUCAGCAUGUGUGUUAGUGGAAGCGUCUGGAAAGGCGCGCGAUACAGGGUGACAGCCCCGUACACAAAAGCGCAUGUGCUGUGAGCUCGAUGAGUAGGGCGGGACACGUGGUAUCCUGUCUGAAUAUGGGGGGACCAUCCUCCAAGGCUAAAUACUCCUGACUGACCGAUAGUGAACCAGUACCGUGAGGGAAAGGCGAAAAGAACCCCGGCGAGGGGAGUGAAAAAGAACCUGAAACCGUGUACGUACAAGCAGUGGGAGCACAGGUUUACCUGUGUGACUGCGUACCUUUUGUAUAAUGGGUCAGCGACUUAUAUUCUGUAGCAAGGUUAACCGCAUAGGGGAGCCGGAGGGAAACCGAGUCUUAAUUGGGCGUUAAGUUGCAGGGUAUAGACCCGAAACCCGGUGAUCUAGCCAUGGGCAGGUUGAAGGUUGGGUAACACUAACUGGAGGACCGAACCGACUAAUGUUGAAAAAUUAGCGGAUGACCUGUGGCUGGGGGUGAAAGGCCAAUCAAACCGGGAGAUAGCUGGUUCUCCCCGAAAGCUAUUUAGGUAGCGCCUCGUGAAUUCAUCUCCGG
rnacentral:rRNA from 1 species